rnacentral:snoRNA from 1 species
GAGCACUGUUCGUGACCUGCUGGUCUGCCUGUGGCUGGCGGGUUCCAUUCCGGUGCCAUAGCAGCUCCAGCACCACGUGACUGACUGCCUGGAGGCUCGGUUUAAGGUCUUGGAGACAAAG